UCCACAGUGGGACUGAGAAGAUAGAGGCCCCAGCGCCCGUUCUUCUUGCUGCAGUAGGAUAGGCAGCAACCCUGGGAACAGCAGAGAGAUGCCUGCGUGGGCACCUCCUCUCCUUGCUGUGGCGUGGUACUCUGAGACAAGAAAAAAGCCAAGGGGAGGACAUGAGCAGGAACACUGAAAGGGACGGAGGGAACAGUGAGAGCUGGCAGAGACAGUGGCAGUGAAGAACUCUAGAUGCCGUGAUUCAUUGUGCGGACCACACAAGGUGGCUGAAUGGGAAUAAGCACACAGUGCUGAGCAGAGCAGUGUCUGCGGGGAAAAGAAGUCAGGGAGCCUGAGGCAUUUGAACCAAGAAUUGAAUGACCCCAAUCCCAAAUAGUGCAGACCAUACUGGGACAGGAUGGAAACAGGAUCAGAGCUCUGCAGUGGAGCAGCAGAGUCAUGAUGCACCAAGAUGCACAGAACGAAAGCAGAGAACUACAGAUAUCAUAUCCAAAUCUUUGAAGCUGCAAAGGACUUUGAAACAAAUUCACAAAAGGUUCAUUUGCCGUGCGGCAGUGGACAGAAGACAAAGAGCCAAAUUUUCCUUGCCUUUCCAGUAGAGCUAAAACUGUUCCACGAGGCAUCAGUUUAAGAGAGGGACACGGCUGGACUUCUGAAACAAGCACUACUUUGACCACUAGGAAUUGUUACUGGCUUCUGGGGGAAAAUAGUCCAAUGACUUUGCUCUCUGUUCCUCACCAGCCGUUUUCACUAUCUAAUUUCCCGGAACAUUUAAUUGUGACAGAACAUUUCAUGUGGCUCAUUGUGCACUGAGAUAUUCUAGCACAUUUUUCAAGACAUAGCACUAUGCAUUUCAAAUAAAUGACAUAAACUACUUUUUUGGACUUUUUUUUUUGCUAUGGUAGAUGAUUGGCUUACACUUCUUUCAAGCAUUUACACUUACAUUACUUUUAAAGGACAAGACAUGGUAGCAUUUGGUUUGUAUCUUCAGUCAUGGACCGAUAUAUAUCCAUCGCUUUGUAGAAAAUUAGAAAUACCUUUUCUUCACAUGAAGGAUUUCUCUUGACCCUAAGCAUCACCACCAUAGUGCCAGCAUGAGCUCCAAUUAAGCAGGGGCUGCAAUUGGUACUGGAGGAGUUUAUCCUGCCACACAAGGUGCCACUCUCCCUCCAUAUGCUAGCAGCCUGUCCUCAGAGAGCUAUGCCUCUUGCUGAAAAUAGCUGGAGGUGAGACGGAUCUUCACCUGGAAAAUCUGCAGCAAGAAACCUCCCAGAAAUAGAGCUACUUGGAGGAUCUUGCCAGAAGGAAGCAACAUGCGGAGCAGACAAUAGGAAAAAGAAUAAUCCCCUGCCUAUAAUUUUUUUUGGUUCACAGACUCUUCCCCAUCAACACCAAGUUUUACUUAGAAAUACUGUGCAGAAGAUUUCUGCCAUUUCAUGCAACAUCAUAAAAUUAUAGAAUGUCUCUAUGCUCAGAAAAUGGUACAGAAUAAGUGGUUUUCCAUAAAGCCAGGACAAAAUUACAACUUGCAAACAAUAAUAAUGAAGAUCUUGGCCAUGGUUCAGUACCCCAUUCCAUUAUGUGAUGCACAAGGAGAGCAAAAUCACUCAGCAAUGCAGACUGAGAUGCACAGGCAAGGGUGUACUCUGGGAGGAAAAGAAGGAUAUAUGUGCAUGUCCUAUCCAGAGGGUCUCAUGCUGUGGGGACUAGGCCACAACUCAGGUUUCACAAGAUGAAGGACAGUGAUGUCCUAUUUCAUAGGGAAGAAAAAAAAAAUAAAACUGUUUUUCUUUUAA